rnacentral:lncRNA from 1 species
CAUCUGUCACGGACAGCCACGUGGUUCUCGGAACAUUUGACGGUAAUACACAAUCUGGAGCUGAAGUGUCCUACAGUUGUACUCCGUGCACGUUUUUUCCUAACACGGGAUCAGCUGUGAUCACGUGUCAGGCUAAUGCCACGUGGAGUAUACCAGUGUGCGUUUAUGGUCCAGAUGUUGGAAGGCUUCCAAAUGGUCAGCUGAUCCCUGAUGGAGCUAUAGGCUGUGCUGCGACGUUCGGUAACACAUGUCCAAGUGCUUCAAUAUCUGAGUCCGCGCUGUUGCUGGAUGGGUCGACCGGAAGUUGUUACUGUGACAGCGCGUGCUGCUCUUCAGGCGACUGCUGCUUCGAUUCCACGUGCG